GUUCAGUCAAUAAACACAAGGAAGGCACUGUUUGCAUACUUCAGCUGUCCUCAGGGUUAGCUCUCUGAGUCACGCCUCUCCUCCAACUCGGGAUUUAAAUCUGUUGGGAAGGCAGUAUAUGGAGGAUGAGAAGUCAAGAACCGAGGCCUGCUUCCGACCCGCUCGCUGGCUGUGUGACCUGGAGAGACGCGCCCUCCUGCUUAGCUGCCUGAGUCUCACUGCAGUUGGUGGGGUAGAGGCUGUGCUGUAUGGGCUUUCUAGCUCCUUCCGUAGGUGUAUACUCUGAAUGAACAGCCAAUGACUUGUCAGCGGCCAGAGGAAGAUGUGAUGGGAGAGAGAAGGUGGUGAGCUUGGAAGAGACAGACACAUUCCUUCAGGAAAGCUCCCAUAGGAUUCACGUUUGGUUCUCUCACCUGGCCUCUCCCACCGAAGGCAUGAUACAUAUUUAUUGAAUGUAUUGGCACAAGUUAUUUACAAAACCUUCGCUUGGAUUGUAGUUAGUUCCUCCUCACUCAAGCACUUCUCCUCCCUUCCCCCUCCAAGCCCACCUACUCUGGAAGCCUCCAAGAUCGGCCCGUCGGCGUUUGUCCUGAAACACACAGAAGGAUUUCUGCGCUAGAUACUGACUUUUUGGUAUUUCCUGCUGGAGCUCUGUCUGGGUGGAGUUGCCGCUGAAGUGCCAGAGUUUUCCUGUUUGUGCAGUGGAUUUUCAAAACCUUAAAUAAACUCUGUUGUGAUGUGUUCAGAAUCGUAACAACUCAACAGCUGUUUAUUGAGCACCUACUACGAGCCCGGCCCUGUUCCAGGGGCUGAGUGGAUGGUGGUGACCUCAGAAGACACCCGGUUCAGCGAGCUCUCAGUCAGGUCCAGGACACUGAUUAGUAAACAGGCACUUGCCCUCCACGUGGUGAGCUUGAGUCUCCCAAUUCCUUCUGCAUCUGCUGCGAGCGACCCUAGAGGCACAAGUCUCCUGAAGUCAGAGGCACCUACAGACGGACGGAGACAGCCUGUGGGAGGGAAGGCCCGGGACUGGGUGAAACAUUGCAUUUCCUGCUCAGAAGGAGCAGGGAGAGGUGGGGUCAGGCCGGGAAAGUGAAGGGCUCCCAAGCUUCCAACAAUUCGGGUCUUUAGAGGGAAUUUCAUGAUUUCAUGUGAAGUGAAUUUUAGGCCUGUCCAGCAGGCCCAUCUCUCCUCAAACACCAGCGAGGCGACACAAAAGUAUAUUCCAGAGCGGCUGGAGAAUUUAUUCGACAGAGAGAGAGGGGGAGGACAAGCAGGGGGAGCAGCAGAGGGAGAGGGAGAAGCAGACUCCCCGCUGAGCAGGGAGCCUGAUGUGGGACUCGAUUCCAAGACUUCAGAUCAUGACCCGAGCCGAAGGCAGACGCUUAACCGACCGAGCCACCAGGCUCCCCCUUACCAUGUUCCUGUGCACUUAUCACUGCAAGCCGUUUGCCCCGUGUGUUGGGGGACAGUCCUCGAGCUGCUGUAACUGAUUUGCAUCCCAGCCUGGACAGCGGACGUACCUGGCACUUAUGGGUGUUCACUGGUGGACCUCUUGGCCUCUGCAUGGGCCAGAAAUGCAUAACGUAUAACCCCCAGGGGUGACACGAGGCCUCCCGCCCAGCUCCGUACUUCUGGGUAUUUAGGGCAAGGUGACAUUGCUUUGCUCCGGGGGACCAAAAUUCAGCAUCAGCUGUGGAGCUGAAUCCAGAUAUGAGCCUGGAAGGCUGGGUGAAAUUUGAACGGAUUAUUCACAGGAAAUUUGAAUAUUAUUUUAAUGAAAUCUGAUGCCGCCUAAGCACAUAUACAUUGAGAACUACAGACACGUUCUUGGAUCCCUGUCCUUCUCAUCAAAAGCACACUUAGUCCUGAGUUCUCAUUAGGAAGCUGAGAAGCAUCCUGUUUCCUUCUAUUCCAACAAUGAUGAUUCCCAGCUAUAUAAAAUUUACAAACUGCUUUGGAAGCAUCUGUAGAGAAAGGUGCCAUAUGAAUGUAUGAGAUUAUUGAAAUAAAUGCUGAUAUAGAGAUUCCCCAGGUGGAUAGUUAAAAUAUACCCAGGCUCACACAUAACGCUCAUACCCCAUACUCAGGGUACUUUCCGCUCUGAUCAGCAGGGAUAAAUUUUCCUACUUGACAGUUGACUGUAAAUCAAAAGUGUGUUCUAAUAGUCACCAGAUUUCUGCUGCUGUGUGCUGCUGUUUUCGACAAUCCUUCACCUCCCGGGACACAGGACCUGAAGGAUCUUGGCACUUUCUCUCCACUGCACAUGGAGAGAGGUGCUUAGCAGCAAAGCAAAUAUGAGUGGAGAAUAUAAAUAAGUCAGGGUAGCCUUAGAAAAGUUGACGUCUGGAUCCACCAUUUUUUUCCCCAGUAGGUAACAGAAUAAGAAAUCAGGAGUUUCCCAGGUUUUUACCAAUGCAAAAGAAAAUACUUGUGUAACAGUAUAAAAGCUGGAGAGUAUUUGACCAUCAAUAAAUACUGAGUAAAUAAUUCUGAAGGUAAACACAAGCCCUUAUUUCCAUAAACCCUGAUUACUGGGCUAAACUAACUGAACUUUCUCCUUCUGAUUUUAUCCCUCAUAAUCCUGCCCAUCCAUGUUUGCUUGGAGGAGCUCAAAUAAACCAGACUGUUCCACACCCCAGUACCUUUGCACAUGCUGCCCUUUGUGCCUGGACCAGAAUGCUCCCUGUUAAUCCAGGUGGGCUGGGGCCACUUUCGGAUAUUUUAAUACCCAGUUACAGGAUAACCUUUCAUUUCCUUUAUGAAGCUUUUCUUGACAUAUUCUCCCACUCUUAGAACUGCCACUUUAUCCCGCGCAAAUGCACUCAUCUAUUUAACACAAACAUGGCUGGGCUCUCUUGGGAAGUCCUCUGCUCUCCCCCUGUACACUUUGAGGUCAUAAUCAAUACUCCACUGCUACCCAGUUGCCUCCUUGUGAUCUCCCAAGCCUCUUCCCAAAGCAUUUUGAGUCAUGUAUAUUUUGCUGAAAUGUUCACAAGGGAGGUCAGUGGAAGGCUUACACGGAACACCACGUGGGCAAACUUCGUAAAAUCGCCCCCAUUCCCAAAGCCUCUUCUCUCAUUAGCAGCAGGCUUCCUGCCUGCCUAGUUGUCACCCCAAUCCUAUUUAGCAUUUCAGCCCUUUCAACCCUUCCCCGUUCAUAAAGGAGAAAGCCUCAAAAUCCCUGAAGUUUCAGGGCCUUUCAUCGAACAAGCCAUCUCUUUGAGAUUCCUCUUAAAAGGCCAGGGUAACAACAUCAAAUACAUUUCUUCUCUUCCUGCUAAAGACUCGAGCUCCUUGAGGGUCGGAAUCAAGCAUACACACCUUGGUGUCUCCCAUGCAAAAUAUUUAAAAUAUUUGUGAAACGUCAGGAUAAGAGAAUCUAGCCACAGAAUAAAAUCUCUGAAGUUCCACUGUGACCAUGGCUUUCUUCUGCUCAAACACCUUCCGUACCUUCUCCACUCCUGCUCUGGCCAACUGCCCCUUCUUCCUGACUAUGAUGGCUAUGAUGGGCCGUCUCCCCUCAAGGCCACCAUGCAUAAUGUUGCCUUCAGGUGUCCAUUUGAGUCAUCUCUCCAGGCCUGGAAUAACCUGUGUCACUCAAGAGAGUGGCUGGUGGUGGGGUACCAUAACCCCAUGGAAGGCCACCGUGGAUGCAAUUGGUCUGGUCUUGUGGUCCAUUCAACUCCUAACCCUUCUUCAAGGCUCAAUGCCUCGCCGACCUCUGGAGAGGUCCCUGAGGGUUGCAGUCCAGACAUAAUUCACUCCCUUGAGUCUUCAGGUUAUAAGCC